GUUUUAAUAGUUUAAAGAAAACUUUGGUUUUGUAAAUCAAAAAUGAAUUGAUUAUUUCUUAAAACA
rnacentral:tRNA from 1 species